rnacentral:rRNA from 1 species
AAAUUGAAGAGUUUGAUCAUGGCUCAGAUUGAACGCUGGCGGCAGGCCUAACACAUGCAAGUCGAGCGGCAGCGGGAAAGUAGCUUGCUACUUUUGCCGGCGAGCGGCGGACGGGUGAGUAAUGCCUGGGGAUCUGCCUAGUCGAGGGGGAUAACAGUUGGAAACGACUGCUAAUACCGCAUACGCCCUACGGGGGAAAGGAGGGGACCUUCGGGCCUUUCGCGAUUGGAUGAACCCAGGUGGGAUUAGCUAGUUGGUGGGGUAAUGGCUCACCAAGGCGACGAUCCCUAGCUGGUCUGAGAGGAUGAUCAGCCACACUGGAACUGAGACACGGUCCAGACUCCUACGGGAGGCAGCAGUGGGGAAUAUUGCACAAUGGGGAAACCCUGAUGCAGCCAUGCCGC